rnacentral:tRNA from 1 species
GUGGCACAACGGUAGCGCGUUUGACUCCAGAUCAGAAGGCUGUGUGCUCGAAUCACGUC